GGGUCGGUGUCCGAGUGGUUAAAGGAGGCGGAUUGUAAAUCCGUUGCAGUAUUGCUACGUUGGUUCGAAUCCAACCCGGCCCA
rnacentral:tRNA from 1 species